rnacentral:rRNA from 1 species
AUGUCUCUUUUCGAUCUCCGCUUCGACAAAGGGCAUGCAUUUGAAGACGGCAUCUGGAAUUCUCUUCAUCUCCCAAUCAACUACUCUGAGGGCAGCGGAUUGAGGGAAUUCUUCUUGGUUGCGGAAUUUACUCGAUCUCAGUUCAGGCUUACGGAGGAGUCCGUUGGUAUGAUCCUUCUCUCAUGUUUUGGGGGGCGUGCUUCGUUAUUCAAGGUUCGUAAGCUUCAAGAUCAUAUGUUCAAGUUCUGGGUCUCAUCUUUGGAUGUUGGUUUUGCGAUUUACAAUGGAGGGAAUAUCUCAAUCCCGGAAUUCAACUUGGGUUUUCUUCUUUGGGGAGCAAAUGGGCCUAAACAUCGCUCUCUUUCUGAUCCGGAGAGAGAUGAUGGUUGGACGCAAGUCUCCACAUCACGAAGGCAAAAUUCAUAUGCAGAUGUUGUGCGUGUGCACAGAUUCAUUGUUCCGAUCAGGAACAAUAAUCCUCAAAAUCGAAGAUCUCAGGCUCCAUCAGCGUUAGCUCCAUCAACGGUGGCAGUUACCUCGGUCUUUAACAGAAUUCAAUUCCCCCCGUUUACUGACUCGUCUGGAGCGGGAAAUUCGCGCAUUCAAACUAAAGUGACUGCCACAGCCCAUGGCAAUCCUCCUAAUCCUCAGCCGACGGAGCCCAGGAUAGCCCAGUCAAACCAGCCCAAUGUCUUCUGUGUCCGCUGUCUCUCUAUGGGCCACGAGAGGCCGGCCUGCUCCAACAAGAUCCAGUGUCGUAAUUGUAAGAGGUGGGGCCACAUCGCCAGUGGCUGUCGAUCGACAUUCCAGCCUCUUGUUACGUCAAAUUGCCGGUCUUCAUCUCUAUCUGCACCAGCUGCAACUCCCCCUGACAACGGAGCAAUUGGUGCGGCUUCCCAGAGAAAUGCACUCGAGUUAGAAGGAAACAGAGGAUGGCAAUUUAUUCCCUCACCAAACGCCCCAGUGCCUCGCCAAGAACAAGCUCCUGCAUUACCCUCUCCCCCCCCUCCACCGGCCCUCACUUCCAAUCUCAUCCUGCAACAUGUAGUCGGUUGA